rnacentral:hammerhead_ribozyme from 1 species
AAGCGAAACGCCCCGCUCUUUUGAAGAACGGGGCGUCUGCCGGGCGUGGUGGCCCGUCACUGAUGAGCAGCCAAGG